AGUCGAGCGCCCCGCAGGGGGAGCGGCAGACGGGUGAGUAACGCGUGGGAAUCUACCCAUCACUACGGAACAACUCCGGGAAACUGGAGCUAAUACCGUAUACGUCCUUCGGGAGAAAGAUUUAUCGGUGAUGGAUGAGCCCGCGUUGGAUUAGCUAGUUGGUGGGGUAAUGGCCUACCAAGGCGACGAUCCAUAGCUGGUCUGAGAGGAUGAUCAGCCACACUGGGACUGAGACACGGCCCAGACUCCUACGGGAGGCAGCAGUGGGGAAUAUUGGACAAUGGGCGCAAGCCUGAUCCAGCCAUGCCGCGUGAGUGAUGAAGGCCCUAGGGUUGUAAAGCUCUUUCAACGGUGAAGAUAAUGACGGUAACCGUAGAAGAAGCCCCGGCUAACUUCGUGCCAG
rnacentral:rRNA from 1 species